rfam:Ponticoccus sp. SJ5A-1 ZB100000, whole genome shotgun sequence.
GGGCACCUACGGGGGCCUAUACCCCGGGCCGCAAGGCCCCAAACACCAGGCGGGGCAGCCCGCCUCGAGCUAACGGAAGACAGAAA